rnacentral:rRNA from 1 species
UACGAAGGGGGCUAGCGUUGCUCGGAAUCACUGGGCGUAAAGGGUGCGUAGGCGGGUCUUUAAGUCAGGGGUGAAAUCCUGGAGCUCAACUCCAGAACUGCCUUUGAUACUGAAGAUCUUGAGUGCGGGAGAGGUGAGUGGAACUGCGAGUGUAGAGGUGAAAUUCGUAGAUAUUCGCAAGAACACCAGUGGCGAAGGCGGACUCACUGGCCCGGUACUGACGCUGAGGUGCGAAAGCGUGGGGAGCAAACAGGAU